rnacentral:rRNA from 1 species
UACGUAGGGGGCAAGCGUUGUCCGGAAUCAUUGGGCGUAAAGAGCGUGUAGGCGGCCAGAUAAGUCCGCUGUGAAAUCUCGAGGCUCAACUUCGAGCUGUCGGUGGAAACUGUCUGGCUAGAGUCCGGAAGAGGAGAAUGGAAUUCCUGGUGUAGCGGUGAAAUGCGCAGAUAUCAGGAAGAACACCCGUGGCGAAGGCGGUUCUCUGGGCCUGUACUGACGCUGAGGAGCGAAAGCGUGGGGAGCGAACAGG